CGCGAAUGGCUCAUUACAACAGCUAUAAUUUACUUGAUCUUGACAAUCCUACUUGGAUAACUGUGGUAAUUCUAGAGCUAAUACAUGCACCAAAGCUCUGACCUUACGGGAAGAGUGCAUUUAUUAGAACAAAACCAAGCGGCUUCGGUCGUUUUUUGUUGACUCAGAAUAACUAAGCUGAUCGCAUGGUCUUGUACCGGCGACGUGUCUUUCAAGUAUCUGCCUUAUCAACUUUCGAUGGUAGUGUAUCUGACUACCAUGGUUGUGACGGGUAACGGAGGAUAAGGGUUCGACUCCGGAGAAGGGGCCUGAGAAAUGGCCACUACGUCUAAGGAUGGCAGCAGGCGCGCAAAUUACCCACUCUCAGAACGAGGAGGUAGUGACGAGAAAUAACGAGACCGUUCUCUACGAGGCCGGUCAUCGGAAUGGGUACAAUCUAAACCCUUUAACGAGGAUCAAUGAGAGGGCAAGUCUGGUACCAGCAGCCGCGGUAAUUCCAGCU
rnacentral:rRNA from 1 species